ensembl:lncRNA
CCCGAAGCGCCGGGAGGAAAGACCAGCCGGGGAUAAACGCCGCGGGGGCAGCGGGCGGGAAGGAGCCCCCCGGCGCUGAGUGUCAUUGCUCUGCCCUUCUGCUACACUGACGUGCUUGGUGGAAACGUUGCAGUUCCCUGGCUGGACAAACUGUGUCACGCCUGUCAGCAACAGAAGUUCUGUACAGUGCUGCUUUCUCGCUGCAGGAGGCAACGUGUGCAGCCAAGCAGUUUUAGCCGUGUAACUGCCACAUCAGCAGGACAGGGGAGAAGGAUGCCUGACAACUAGAAGAAGACAAGGAGGCCAGGAGGAGAGAGGAUGUUAAGAGGACUUGAGAGAAAAAGUAUAGAAGUACCGGCUAAGGUUCUGCUCAAGUCAACUUUGUAGAAGCAGCACUGCCUUAACUGCAAGUGGAUGCAAGAACAAAGAAACGAAAUGGCUUCACCUUCAGCACCAGCAAGUGAGAUGAAACAUUCCUGGCUUGCUUUCAUGAGUAUUUCAGAAUCAUGGCAGAACACUUCACAAGCAGGCCUUGAAUUCUGAAGCAAAUCUGCACUUUAAGUGAUGAUUAGUUAAGCAUGUAAAAUUGGGUUACAAUGCCCUUGAGGAACUGAGGACCUUCUUUCACCA